rnacentral:rRNA from 1 species
AUUGAACGCUGGCGGCAGGCCUAACACAUGCAAGUCGAACGAGUGGCGGACGGGUGAGUAAUGUCUGGGAAACUGCCUGAUGGAGGGGGAUAACUACUGGAAACGGUAGCUAAUACCGCAUACCAUCGGAUGUGCCCAGAUAGGAUUAGCUAGUAGGUGGGGUAAAGGCUCACCUAGGCGACGAACCCUAGCUGGUCUGAGAGGAUGACCAGCCACACUGGAACUAAGGCACGGUCCAGACUCCGACGGGAGGCGGCGGUGGGGAAUAUUGCACAAUGGGCGCAAGCCUGAUACAGCUAUGCCGCGUGUGUGAAGAAGGCCUUCGGGUUGUAAAGCACUUUCAGCGAGGAGGCGUUACUCGCAGGAGAAGCACCGGCUAACUCCGUGCCAGCAGCCGCGGUAAUAC